rnacentral:lncRNA from 1 species
AGCAAUGUGUUUUAUCACCCCAGGCAUAUGUUACAAUGUUGGGAUUUCCAUCUGGAUGAUAACCAUGUUGUGUGCAAAGGAUUAUGAUCUGCUAGUUGUGGAGCAAUUGGUGGUGUCUGUUCUAGACUCAGGCAGAAUGCAAGCCCUUUGGUCUCCACAUCAUUAUUUUCUUUUCUACCUCUCUCUAGAUGCCAACGAUGGACCAGUUUCUGGAUGGAUAGAGUUUGUUUCUUCAAAUUCUUCUGUUCCCUUUGCGUGAUGUUUCUGGGUGUCCUGUGAUGCUGAUAUUUCAAUGAUAGGCAAGUGCAUGCUCAUCUGCUAUGAAAUAAAGUCUGGAUGGAAAGACUGGGAGCCUGAGAAGCAGCCUCUGUAACAGUUUCAUUUGUCUGCCUGGGAAUGUAAUGGCUUGGGGGUCCCUCUACCUCUUGGACUGAAGAGCAACUGACCUCGCUCCUUCCUGUCAAUGAUGGCAUUCAAGUCCAAGAUCCAGAAAUCAGUGUUUAUGUCCCAAACACAAAAACCUGUAUUAUAAGGAGCUCACUGGUGCUUGCACAUGCACUUAAUUGUAGAAAAAAAUAUAGAGGCCGACCUGUCCACUCACAUACAUAGCAUGACAUACAAUGGCCAUACAGGUGCAGAAACUUCCCAAAAGACAUUGGUACACCUCUCUACAUUGAU